UACGAAGGGUGCAAACGUUGCUCGGAAUUAUUGGGCGUAAGGCGCACGUAGGCGGCUUAGCAAGUUGGAUGUGAAAUCCCUCGGCUCAACCAAGGAAGUGCAUCCAAAACUGCUGAGCUUGAGUACUUAAGAGGAUCGCGGAAUUCCCGGUGUAGAGGUGAAAUUCGUAGAUAUCGGGAGGAACACCAGUGGCGAAGGCGGCGACCUGGACAAGUACUGACACUCAACUACGAAAGCGUGGGGAGCAAACAGG
rnacentral:rRNA from 1 species